AUUGAACGCUGGCGGAAUGCUUUACACAUGCAAGUCGAGCGGCAGCGCGGGGCAACCUGGCGGCGAGCGGCGAACGGGUGAGUAAUGCAUCGGAACAUGUCCAUGUCGUGGGGGAUAGCCCGGCGAAAGCCGGAUUAAUACCGCAUACGCUCGAGAGAGGAAAGCCGGGGACCGCAAGGCCUGGCGCGAUUGGGUUGGCCGAUGUCCGAUUAGCUAGUUGGUGAGGUAAAGGCUUACCAAGGCGAUGAUCGGUAGCUGGUCUGAGAGGAUGAUCAGCCACACUGGGACUGAGACACGGCCCAGACUCCUACGGGAGGCAGCAGUGGGGAAUUUUGGACAAUGGGGGCAACCCUGAUCCAGCCAUUCCGCGUGAGUGGAGAAGGCCU
rnacentral:rRNA from 1 species